rnacentral:rRNA from 1 species
UACGUAGGCAGCAAGCGUUGUUCGGAGUUACUGGGCGUAAAGAGUGUGUAGGCGGUUUGCCAAGUUCGGUGUGAAAUCUCCCGGCUUAACUGGGAGGGUGCGCCGAAAACUGGCAGGCUAGAGUGCGGGAGAGGAGAGCGGAAUUCCUGGUGUAGCGGUGAAAUGCGUAGAUAUCAGGAGGAACACCUGCGGUGUAGACGGCUCUCUGGACCGUUUCUGACGCUGAGACACGAAAGCGUGGGUAGCAAACAGG